rnacentral:rRNA from 1 species
UACGGAGGGUGCAAGCAUUAAUCGGAUUUAUUGGGCGUAAAGGGCGCGUAGGCGGAGAUAAAAGUCAGAUGUGAAAUCCCGGGGCUCAACCUCGGAACUGCAUUUGAAACUUUAUCCCUUGAGGGUAGGCGGAGAAAACGGAAUUCCACAAGUAGCGGUGAAAUGCGUAGAUAUGUGGAAGAACACCGGUGGCGAAGGCGGUUUUCUAGCUUAUUCCUGACGCUGAGGCGCGAAAGCAAGGGGAUCAAACAGG